rnacentral:lncRNA from 1 species
UUGUAAGAUAUGAACGGUAUAUAAUUUUCUGUACUCAUGUUAUAUCAGCUAGCUUGGACCUUCUGUAUCUGUACACAUACAAAAGGAAAUUGUAAAAAAAUAGUUCUAUAUCUGUAGAUAGAAGAAAGCAAAUUUUCUAAUGAUGGCAAAGAAAACAAAAUCAUACCCUAGUGAGAAGAAAUAGUUUAACAUGGCAUGGUCCUCACAUUAACUCAUACCCAGUGCCAUAUAUGAUAUCAAGUACUGGGGGAACCAACCCGAAACCUCAACCAGAAACGACCGCGCUCUAACACAUGGGCCACAGGCUCCUCCCUUCUCCGCUCCAGCAAG